AGAGUUUGAUCAUGGCUCAGGAUGAACGCUGGCGGCGUGCCUAAUACAUGCAAGUCGAACGAGAUGCUUUUGUAGCAAUACGAGAGUAUUCUAGUGGCGAACGGGUGAGUAACGCGUUGGUGACCUACCCCAAAGUGUGGGAUAACAGUCCGAAAGGAUUGCUAAUACCGCAUGUGGUCUUCGGAUUUAGAAACUGAUGACUAAAGGAGCAAUUCGCUUUGGGAGGGACCUGCGUCCCAUCAGCUAGUUGGUGAGGUAAUGGCUCACCAAGGCGACGACGGGUAGGGGACCUGAGAGGGUGGCCCCCCACAAUGGAACUGAAACACGGUCCAUACACCUACGGGUGGCAGCAGUAGGGAAUAUUGCUCAAUGGGCGAAAGCCUGAAGCAGCAACGCCGCGUGCGCGAUGAAGGCCUUCGGGUCGUAAAGCACUUUUCUGAGAGAUGAGAAAGGACAGUAUCUCAGGAAUAAGUCUCGGCUAACUACGUGCCAGCCGCCGCGGUAAUAC
rnacentral:rRNA from 1 species